ensembl:lincRNA 1700036A12Rik RIKEN cDNA 1700036A12 gene
GGCAGUUAUGACGGACACUCAGUGCUUUUAGACCCGGAAUGAAUGUUAUGGUCGGGACAUCCAGAGUGUGUAUGCAAAAGCCCCGUGGGAGCUAGUUACCAUCACUUAGACCACUCUUCCAUUAAUUAGCUGUUUGCACACCACCCCUGAGCUGGAGCCAGCUCGAAGACAAGGAGAAGCAGGGGUGGUGCUCCCGGCAUGAAGAACCUGGAAUACACAGUGCACGAAUGGCUCGGCUAACAAAAGCACAUAUGAACUCCAUGUUCUUACGUCCCUAACAUGCCAUCCCAAGACUGUCAUGGGGUCAGCUGGAGAAAAGGACAGGUAAAAGCACCAAAUAUUCGUGUGUACUCGGAGGCCGCAGAGAUGCAGUGUGACCCACGGCUGUGGAUUAACACCGACACCCCAGAGCAGGAAACCCUCCUACUCUUCCAUCCUCAGCCGUUUGUGUGGGCUUCCACAUUCUGUUGGCCGCCCCCUGGAAAAUGCCUCGCUUGUGCUGUUAUUUUUUCUUUUAUGUUGAAGUCUCCUGGGGUCCGCUUGACUCUUGUAGUUGGUUAGAGUCCAAGUAUAGACUCCUCUGCUUGUGACUAGAGGCAGGGCAGUAGGGUAAGGCUGGUGGGAAUCAGGGAGAGGGGGCUUUUCCACAUUUUAGAAGAUAAUAUAAUAACAUGGUUGAGGUUGAGAUAGAAAUACUUCAGAGGAAGCGUGACUAUGAGACAGAGGGAAGAAGACAGAUCCCACCCUCCCACCAACUGAUGGCUGGUGGGAACUCUGCUCCCACCACCCGCACUGCUCACCCUAGCCCCAACACCAGACACCCUUCCAGACUGAGUAAGGCUAAGCCGAGGACUGGAUCAAGGAUUGGAACCUGCCUACCAGAAGAAAGUCAGAAAAGUGUCUAUAAGGACAAGAUUGGGUUUCCUUUAACAUGAGAGGGAUAUGGUGUGGGGCAGGGAAUGCCACCCUGUCUCUUCCUAGGAGGUGCUCCUGUGAGCCUUCCCCCAGGCCCUGUCAAUCAUGCAACCUUAUUUAUCAUACAUCAGUCAGGUGCUGAGUCCAAUGUGAUAAGUGGAGAAACAGAGGCACAGACCAAGUAGUUUGUCCAGCAUCUCCUACUAGGAAGUAGAAGACUGCACAGCCCAUGUGACUCAUGCUUCGGGGCUUUUGCUCUUCAACUGGAUGCCAGAUGUUUGAGAAGAUCAACGAUUACCCAGGUGUUUCCUGGGUUUUGUUCCUGUUGCCUGCAAAUGUUGUCUACGAUCUGACUCUCCAGCAGCUGGGGUCUUCCAGCCUUGGGAACAAACAGAGGACGCCCCAGUGUCUUGAGUGCGGUCACUUGCAUACGUGGCUCCUACUCUCAGCUGAGUCCUGUGGAGGGUUCACAGGCAGAGCAGUCAUGGAGAUGUACUCAGCCUUGCCUCCCAGGCCCAAGACCAACAGCAAAGCCACAGCUGGCUGAGGUGUUUGGAAGUAACGUUUCCCCUCAACUGCAUAGCCCGGAUUUAGGUUCUUGAGACUUCCUGAGAGGCCACCCUCUUGGAGCUUUAAUCCUUCCCCCAGUGUCCUUCCUGCCACCUGUAGUCUAAACUUAGUGACAAGCACGCCUUCCCCAACCACUUUGGCAGGCCAUCCUGCUGCUUUUGAGCAAGCAUGUGCUCCUUCAUCAGGGCCACCUUGAGAGAGGAAGCUCGAGUGGGAGCCAGUGACAAUGAUCUUCCUGUGGGUUUUUUUUUUUAAUUUUCAUUGAUUCUAUAAAUAAUACACAAUUGGGAAACUGUACAUGUCUGUCUAUAUCUAUAUGACAAUAAAUAACAUCCUCUCA